UCUUACUUCCCAUUGGACUCCAGAAAGUGGUCCAUGGCCAUCUUCAGGUGUUUGCAGACCACAUAGUCCACUGCCUGCAUGACCUCUGCAGAGGAAGGACUAAAGACCAGCUGGCAAAGAUGGUGCAGGUGUUUUUUUACCUGUCAAGAAAUAAAGAAGGGAAACAAUGGCACCUGGCAGCCAUGGAAAGGUUCCUGGGUCAAAAGUGGUGGGAGAGAGCUGGCAGGUGAAUCUGUGUGGGAUGCCUGCUGGAAGGAACUGGGCAUUGGGGUCCUAACAUACCUUUCUAGUGGUCAAAGAGACCACUGGGUAAUGAACAGGAGUGGAGAAGAGCAGCCUACAUGAAGGCCGGGCAUCUCUGGGACAAACCUGCCACUUGAAAGGUCUAUGCAGGAAGCCCCUCUCCGCGUCCUGAGAAAAGUGAUGGGCAAUGCCUCCAUGGUGGUGGUCCCAGGCCUCGCCGGUGUGAACUCAGGGUCUUUCCUGCCCUGGGUCCAGGGAGGACCAUCUCUGAGGGUGCAGGGUGGGGUCUUCUGCUUCCUUGUGGCUCAGGGAGCUGGAAGAGAGGCACAAGGAGGUGAGGCCUGACAGGAUAGGGAUGGAGGACAAGGAGGGGGAAAACUGUCAUGCCUCCUGGCAACAGCAACGCACCUGCUUGAACUGACAUCCUCCAGGCUGGGGAUGUCAGCCAGCAUUGCCUCUUCGGAGUCCUGUAAAACACAAUUGGGCAGAGCAGUGAAGUAAAGCUGCCCCCUCCCCUUGUGGGUAUGGGGCCGAAAGAGACGGAAUGGGAAGACAGCUCAGGGGAAGAAGACUAGAGUAGGAGGAAGAAGGUUCAAGGAGGGGGCAGGGAGAGGAAAAGCGGUGUGGGGAUGGAGAGGAAGGAGCCCACCCAUCUUUUACUGCCCCCUUCCCUUGAUGUCUUCUGAGGUUGUCUCGGAAAUUGUAUGGUGACGACUAUUAUGUGCUGAAAUACAUCUCCCAAGGACCCCUCCCUCUGCCCUCCACCACCAAAUCACCUCACACACGGAAAUUCCCCCUUACCUUACAAUUUGCAUAUCCCCCUCCCUCCCUCGGCCAAUCACCUCCCACAUACAAUUUCUCCCCUACCUCACAAUCCCCACUGGCCAAAUUUUGCAUAUCCCAAUCCCUCCCAAGGGGCCCCUCCCUCCCCUCCCUUCCCUGGCCAGUCACCUCCCGCAUGCAAAUUCCCCCCUACCUCAUAAUCUCCACUGGCUAAACUUUGAACAUCCCACUCACGCCCAGGGGCCCCUCCCUCCCUGGCAAAUCACCUCCCACAUGCAAAUCCCCCCCCCCCAACUCACAAUCCCCGCUGGCCAAACCUUGCACAUCCCACUGCAAAGGGGCCCCUCCCUCCUCUCCCUCUCUUGACCAAUCACCCACCACAUGCUAAUUCCCCCUUACCUCACAAUCCCCACUGGCAAAACAUGUCUUAUCCCCAUCCUCAGGGCCAUCCUGUGUGGGGCACAUGGAAGGGCCUGGGCCAGAGAGGCAUCCGUUGGGGGAAGCCCCGGCUGGACUUGCCUGGAGAUCCCUCUUCCCAUGUUGGUGGCCAGGAAGGCAAUAGUGGUGCCAACCACCUGAAGGCCCCUCGGAACCCCUGGUCUCCCUGGCAACCAGGAGACUCAGGGCAGAUGCGGACACACAUACGGCAAGCAUUCAAUGCCAUUAUACAACAAGGACAGACAAUACACAGAUAGAGAUUGAUGAUGAUAAAUGGAAGCCUUUACGUGUGCCCACGAUCCAGUGUCACCCACAGAACAAUAACAAGCCACUCAGGUUUGCAUAACAAAAGUACAGGAACUUUACUAAUUCCAAGAGAUCAAAAAAAAAACAGUAGUAUUUACAAUGGUCCCUCUGAUCACUUACAGAAGUCAACCAUCAUAAACAAUCCUUUCUUGGUCCACAAGUCUGCUUCAGAGAAGAAUACAGUCCUGGUUCUUCACACUCUUUUCUCAGCAGCAAACCCGCCUCAAAAUAGCAAGGCCUCUCUGAAUACGCUGCUCUAGCACUAACACUAGCAGUAUUCAGCCAGUACUGAAAACUUGUUCAAACAAGUUCUGCAGCAGCAGAACAGAAACAGUAUCAAACCAAUCCCCAGAUCUUUGCAGGCUCAGCCAA